CAGCUUCCUCCUCGACUGUGCCAAGCAGGGAGAGGGGGUUGCAGGCAGGAGCAUAGACGGGAGUAGAUUUCACGGAGACUUCCAGCGACUCCGCCUCUUCCGUGUAGGGAAGCCUUUCUUCCUUUUGUGUGGUGACAUGCUGGCACACACCUGUUAACCCAGCUGCUUAGGAAGCCAAAGCCAGAAGGAGAUUGAGAAGCUGAAGGCCUGCAUCCACUGCUCACCCAACUUGGAUUAUAUUACACCAUAUACAACCCUUAAAAAACAACAAAACACCCUAAGAUCUCUCCCACCCCGGGAAACACACACCCCAAAACCCGAACAGCUAUCAAGACUCAUGCCUGAAAUACUUGUAUUCUGGAGCAUGAAGCCGGAGGAUUGGUUGGCGCUCAACCUGGGAUGUAUAGAGAGACUGUGUCUCAAAAACAAGAAAACAAAACAAAACAACAAACCCAGUUGUAAUACCACCCAAGUUAGAGCAUGUCAAGAGAACAGAGGCCUGUGACAUCAGUCUCUGAAUGCAGAGUCGUCGAUGCAUUAAACCUGGUGGCCAGCUUCAGAGGACAAAAGCCUUCAAAGUCUUGCUGUCCCCGUAGGUAGCAAGGGGCUCUGUGUGCUCCCCAGAGUUCAGAAUCAUCUGGACACUCACCAUUCACCCCUCAGCUGGAGUCCCUGGAGAGGAGACAAGAACGGCUGGUGCCCUGGCCAUACUUCCUGGAAGCUCUCUCCAGCCAUGAAGGCAGGGGAAGGGCUUCCUAGUUCUGUCCCUGCCUGCUGGGCUUCCCAACCUGGGACCUGAUUCACACUCUUGGACAGACUUGAACAGUCUGCCGGGAGGACUAAGGUCCUGGGGACUGGGGCGCUCUAGUGUCUUCAGGGGGAAUUCUUCGAGUCUGUGCACUGUCUACUGACACUCCCAACUCAGUACUGAGCUCCUGACCUUCUUCCUCUUCCACCCCUGCCUCAGAGACAGCCGCUCCAUCCUUUAGCUGGGGCUGAAGUACAUCCUUCAUUCCCCGUUCUUUUCCUAUGCUGGAGCUGGAAGAGAGUUUCAUUCAAGCUAGGUGUGUGCUCUACCAUUAACUCCAUCAGCAGCCUUGUGUCAGGGAGUGCUCUGUGUGGGUGUGCAGGAGUAUACAUGUGUGAGGGAUGUGUGCACCCAUGUGGACUGUCCCAACUCAUUUUUGAGACCAGUCUCUCCUGGACUUUGCUGAUUUGGUUUGACUGGCUGGGCAACGUGACCCCAGGGUCCUCCUGACUCCACCUCUUGAGUGCUGGAAUUUCACUUAAGGCUUUUAAGCCUGGGUUCAGAAGACUGAACUCAGAGCUUGAUACUCUGUUGGCAAAAGCAUUACCAACUGAGUUCUUUCUUCAGUCCAUUUAAAAAAAUAUUUUUAAUUUAUUUUAUUAUUUAAUCUUGAUUUUUCAAGAUAGAGUUUCUCUACUUACAGGCCCCGGCUGUCCUGGAACUCCCUAGACCAGGCUGACCUUGAACUCAAGAGACCCACCCACACUCCACUGCUUGCAGCAAAGGCUACCGCCCAGCUACAGUUUUUUUUUUUUUUUUAACUUUAAUUCUGUGUGUCUGCUUGUGACUGUGUGGGUCUGUGCCUGCGAGUACAGACGCUCCAGAGGCCUCGUGCUUCUGAGUGGCUGGUGUGGUUGCUGGGCCCUGAGCCUGUGACCUCUGUAAACAGUGGGGGCUCUUAACUUCUAAGCCACCUCUCCAGCUCCCGCUUGAGUUGAGACAGGAUUCUGCUGACUUGCCCAGGCUGGCCUUGAACCUCCAUCUACUUUAGCCUCCUUUAGUAGCAAAGACCACAGGCCUGCACCUCCACACCCCAUGCAGGUGUCACUCCACACAAACCACAUUAAAUCCAACACCCAAUUUAGACUCUUUUGAGUCUAGACCUCUGGCCUUGUCAGAUCACUAUCAUCUCCCUAGCAGGCUCCCCACCCUCCCUCAUCCAGUGUACCCUCAGUCCCUUUUCACCAUCAGCCUUGCAGGCUACCACUACAACACACCCAGACUCCAGGAAGGCGUCUAGGCACGACCAACAGCAUACCACCAGCUUCCGUGUACUGGAAAUGUCAGAACAAGCUGAUCUACAGAUGCAGAUAGGAGAUCAGUGCCUGCCUAGGGCCGGAGCAAGAGCAACCGGUGUGGUGGCUCCAGGCCUGCAGGCUCUACUGUUAUCUCCUUGGCUCUUAUCUAAAGUGGCAGCCAGGCCUUUUGCCCUAAGGGAUUUCUUCUAGCACUCAUUUCCCCUGGGCAUGGAAUCCCUGUUUGUUGUCAGUCUAAUCACUCUGUGUGGGCCCCACCAGCCCUGCUUCACUGUGCUAGCUGCUGUUUUCCCAGGCUUAGGACUCCAGACCUCAAGUACUAAGCAGGGGCUCUACCACUGAGCCACACCCUAGCCCCUUACUGGAGGAUUCUAGGCAGGGCUCUACCACUAAGGUACACCCCAGCCCCUCACUGGGGCAUUAUAGGCAGGGCUCUACCACCGAGCUAUUGGACAGCCUUCUUUUCCAUGUUAUUUUUUAAAAAAUUUAUUUCACGCCUGGCAGAGGUGGCACAUGCCUUUAAUCCCAGCACUCAAGAGGCAGAGGCAGAGUUUGAAGCCAGUCUGGUCUACAAGAGCUAGUUUGAGGAGAGCCUCCAAAGCUACAGAAAAACCCUGUCUCAAAAACCCAAAAUAAACAAAUAAAUAUAUAUUAUAUA